rnacentral:lncRNA from 12 species
AUGUCACACACAUCUCUUAGAAGCUCUGAUUCAUCUCAAACUUGUUUGAUGCUUCUCCAAAGAGCUCCAUCUGGUUCCCACACCAUUUCUGACAGGUGGCUAACACGGCUCUUUGAAGCCCCCAGAACACCAGGAAGUGUCUUCCGCAGAACCGACUUGGCUUUUAUGUCACUUUUCUGUCUCCCUGUUGUGUAUUUGCCAGGACCAUAGACAUUUGUAUGAAAAUGGAGUCCAUGUUUGUAAGGACUCGUCUGCUCAGCCUGCAGGGCGAGGAGGCGCUGGGGGGCAAUCUGCCCAGCCCAGCACCUACCCACAUGGCUCUGUUCCUCCCUAUGUGAGACUUCUCUGGGCUCUGAGAGAGGGGGACGCCAUCCAGCCCGGAUUUAUGGCCUGAGUGGGCCUUCCUGGGCCACAGGAGCAUCUGCUUCAACAUGGAAACAACAUCACUCCGUCUCCAAGCAUAUGUCCAGACUUGGGCCUCAUGGGCUGUGGACUGCGGGCUGCAUUGUGAAGUGCUUGGCUGGAUGGUGGGGCCAGCCUGCGGGGCCAGGAAAGGCCAGUGGGGAGUCUGAGGGGUGAAUGACUAUCAACAGGCUGCUAUGGUUAGAGAGAGCCACUGACAGCACAUUAAGAGAGUAUCAGGGCCUGGGUGGGGGCCAGCACAUGACCUAGCCUGAUGGAAGCAAACACCGAGCACAUCUCUUCUGCCAUCCUUGUGAGCCUGGAACGUUAGCAUUUUCAAAGCACCUUCACCACCAUUUGGUGUUUUCAUGAUGGAUGUUAUGGACCAAAUGUUUAUGUUUCCCCCAAACUCAUAUAUUGAAGCCCUACUCCGCAAUGUGAUGGUAUUUGGAGCUGGGGCCUUUGGGAGGUAAUUAGGUUUAGAUGAAGCCAUGAGGGUGGGGCCCCCACAAGAAGAUUGGUGCCCUUCUAAGAAGAGGAAGAGACAGCAGAGCUUCCUCGUCCACCAUAUGAGGACAGAGUGAUAAGGAGGCCAUCUGUAAACCAGGAAGCAGCCUUCACUAGACCCUGACCAUGAUGGCAUCCUGAUCUCAGACUUUUAGCCUCCAGAAUGGUGAGAAAUGUCUGGUACUUAAGCCACCCAGUCUGUGGUAUUCUGGAACAGCAGUCUGAGCUGUCUGAAGUGACUGGGAAGUAUUGCUGGCUGAUGGAGAAGGUCUAUCUGCUGCAGGUUCCACAGUCCUGGUUUUUCAGGGAGAUGCAGCUCUGAUGACAUCACUUCUGUGCUGGAUCCAGCCAUGUCUGACAACCCUAGAGUUGUAGUUUCCUAGUUUUGCUUAAAUCAGUUUGAACUGGAUUCCUGUCCGUUCUGACCAAAACCAGAGUUCUGACCAAAGCAGUGGUGUACCCCUAUUCUGAUGCCAUUCUCUUGGAGAACCAGCCCUCCCCUGACACUCUGAGGCUCCCCUUGCUGAACAAGUUGAACACCUGUUCCCUGUGGCGCUGCAUCCUCUUUCCAUAGGGAGAUCUUACAAUAAUCACCCUCAUGUGGGGCUGAGGCGGGGUGGCUGAGGAGAAAGCCAUGGAGAAUCACUGAAGAGGAUUUUUUGUUUGUUUGGUGGUUUAUUAUUUACUUUGGGUUUCUUUUUGUUAUUUAAAAAAUGUAUUAUUAUUGUAGUAUUUAUUAUUUACUUGUGUUUUUUCAAUUCACAAUGUUUAUUAUUUUUAUUAUUAUUUGCUUUACUUAUUUAUUUAUUUUUAGAAAGGCCGAUUGACAGGACAAUACUGAUAUUUUCCACCCCGAGGGUUGGGGCAGAGGUGAACUGGAUGGGCUCCCAGGGCAGGUGAGCUCCUGAACUCAGGAAUAGGCAGGGCGAUGGAUUCAAGAGAAGUAGAAAUCUUCAAGAGUCAUCACAUAUUGACUUGAAGGGUAUGGCGGGGAGAUGGAGUGGAUAGGGACUCCUAUUUUUGGGGGGUUUUGUUUUGGCUGCAGCAUGUGGGUGGACAGUGGAGAGCCAUUGAGUCAGAGCAAGCGUUGAAAAGGACCAGCCCCUGGGAGGGCCCAGUUCAGGCCCCAGGCUCUUGUGGCCCCCUCCCCUUGGUAAUCCCUUGCUCUAUCUACAUGUUUACUUUUGAAGGACAUUUUCUGUCUAUGCUUUGAAGCCACUUAAUCCAUUAAUUCUUCAUUAUUUAUGUCCGGCUUCAUUAUGUUAUAAUCUUUACAGUUGUUAAUUUGCAUUUCAUUUCCUGCAGUGACAGAAAACCCCAAAACUUUACCCAUGAAAAAUGUUAUUGUUGUGAAUAUUAAUACAAGUCACAAAUGAUCACCAUCCAGAGCCCAGUGCAUAGCAACGGCUCCCUUCUUUCCAAGGAUGAGAAGAUUGAGGUAAUUACCAAAAGCAAGAGCUCUGCUUGCCCUGAGGGCUGAGCAAGGCAGAACCAGUCACGAGUCCUGUGAUAAUAUUAUAAGAGGGAGAGGGGCACCUGGGGGGGCUCAGUUGUGUCCCAGGUCAUGAUCCCAGGGUCUUGGGAUUGAGUCCCGCAUCGGCCUCCCUGCAGGGAGCCUGCUUCUCCCUCUGCCUAUGUUUCUACCUCUCUCUUUGUGUCUCUCAUGAAUAAAUAAAAUCUUAAAAAAAAAAAAAAAGUGGGA